rnacentral:rRNA from 1 species
GACGAACGCUGGCGGCGUGCCUAAUACAUGCAAGUAGAACGCUGAAGGAGGAGCUUGCUCUUCUGGAUGAGUUGCGAACGGGUGAGUAACGCGUAGGUAACCUGCCUGGUAGCGGGGGAUAACUAUUGGAAACGAUAGCUAAUACCGCAUAAGAGUAGAUGUUGCAUGACAUUUACUUAAAAGGUGCAAUUGCAUCACUACCAGAUGGACCUGCGUUGUAUUAGCUAGUUGGUGGGGUAACGGCUUACCAAGGCGACGAUACAUAGCCGACCUGAGAGGGUGAUCGGCCACACUGGGACUGAGACACGGCCCAGACGCCUACGGGAGGCAGCAGUAGGGAAUCUUCGGCAAUGGACGGAAGUCUGACCGAGCAACGCCGCGUGAGUGAAGAAGGGUUUCGGAUCGUAAAGCUCUGUUGUAAGAGAAGAACGAGUGUGAGAGUGGAAAGUUCACACUGUGACGGUAUCUUACCAGAAAGGGACGGCUAACUACGUG